CCGCUGAGCUAAUUUUUCCACACCCUACAUAUGCAAGCACCAACAUUUCUUUACACAAGGCGCGGUGAUAUAAUAUAAUAGAUGGUUUAAUAGUUGCGCGUGAGAUAUAUGUAUAUAAACAACUCGGUCCCGAUCGCCAAGUCCAUCCGUUUUUUCGCCUGCAGGCAAGGUCCGGUGGCACCAAAAAGAGGGACGGAUGAUCGUGGUACUGGAGCGGACCCCCCUCCGAGACCGAGGGUCAGGCCAGGUCAGCAAUUUCCUGCCACACGUGGAUCAUAACCUUAUCCAGGGGUUGGUUUUUUAGCUUUCGUCUGGCAGCCACAACACUUUUAUAUUGUUUUUUAUUUGGGUUAUGUUCCCUUUUAUGGUUUUGCAAACUUUUCACCACGUUUUUUUUUGUUUUUGUAUAUUUUCUACACGCACAUCAAUUAAGUCUUAAAACCUUGAAUGCAAUUUUUGUUCUCUGCAGCAUGCACUUAGCCUAACUAUUUUACCCCUCCAAAAGCUGUGUAUGAGAGAGCUAAGAAGGUUCUCGAAGGGCUAGCCGUAAGCUAUGUUUGAAGAGAGAAAAGCUCACAUGUGAACGGUGCUCGCACAUGCAAUUUCGAAAGAGAGAGCUUUUCAAGAUAACAGCUUCUGAUCUUGCAUGUGGGCUCUCGCUGGAAUGCGUACAGUGGGGGAGGUUCAAUAUUUUCUUGAUAAAAUUAGAAGACUGUUCCCCAAAAACAAACAGACAUUCUAACCUUUUGUUUUUGGUCUGCAACCUUCACAA
rnacentral:lncRNA from 1 species